rnacentral:rRNA from 1 species
UGGGGAAUAUUGCACAAUGGGCGCAAGCCUGAUGCAGCCAUGCCGCGUGUGUGAAGAAGGCCUUCGGGUUGUAAAGCACUUUCAGCGGGGAGGAAGGCGAUAAGGGUAAUAACCUUGUCGAUUGACGUUACCCGCAGAAGAAGCACCGGCUAACUCCGUGCCAGCAGCCGCGGUAAUACGGAGGGUGCAAGCGUUAAUCGGAAUUACUGGGCGUAAAGCGCACGCAGGAGGUCUGUCAAGUCGGAGGUGAAAUCCCCGGGCUGAACCUGGGAAAUGCAGUCGAAACUGGCAGGUUAGAGUCUUGUAGAGGGGGGUAGAAUUCCAGGUGUAGCGGUGGAAUGCGUAGAGAUCUGGAGGAAUACCGGUGGCGAAGGCGGCCCCCUGGACAAAGACUGACGCUCAGGUGCGAAAGCGUGGAGAGCAAACAGG